rnacentral:rRNA from 1 species
CAACUUUCAGCAACGGAUCUCUUGGCUCUCCCAUCGAUGAAGAACGCAGCGAAAUGCGAUAAGUAAUGUGAAUUGCAGAAUUCAGUGAAUCAUCGAAUCUUUGAACGCACCUUGCGCUCUCUGGUAUUCCGGAGGGCAUGCCUGUUUGAGUGUCAUUA